rnacentral:rRNA from 1 species
AGUGAACGCUGGCGGUAGGCCUAACACAUGCAAGUCGAACGGCGGCACAGUAAGAGCUUGCUCUUACGGGUGGCGAGUGGCGGACGGGUGAGGAAUACAUCGGAAUCUACUUUUUCGUGGGGGAUAACGUAGGGAAACUUACGCUAAUACCGCAUACGACCUACGGGUGAAAGCAGGGGAUCUUCGGACCUUGUGCGAUUGAAUGAGCCGAUGUCGGAUUAGCUAGUUGGCGGGGUAAAGGCCCACCAAGGCGACGAUCCGUAGCUGGUCUGAGAGGAUGAUCAGCCACACUGGAACUGAGACACGGUCCAGACUCCUACGGGAGGCAGCAGUGGGGAAUAUUGGACAAUGGGCGCAAGCCUGAUCCAGCCAUACCGCGUGGGUGAAGAAGGCCUUCGGGUUGUAAAGCCCUUUUGUUGGGAAAGAAAAGCAGCAGGUUAAUACCCCGCGGUUCUGACGGUACCCAAAGAAUAAGCACCGGCUAACUUCGUG